rnacentral:rRNA from 1 species
UACGUAGGGUGCGAGCGUUAAUCGGAAUUACUGGGCGUAAAGCGUGCGCAGGCGGUUUUGUAAGUCUGACGUGAAAUCCCCGGGCUUAACCUGGGAAUUGCGUUGGAGACUGCAAGGCUGGAGUCUGGCAGAGGGGGGUAGAAUUCCACGUGUAGCAGUGAAAUGCGUAGAGAUGUGGAGGAACACCGAUGGCGAAGGCAGCCCCCUGGGAUAAGACUGACGCUCAUGUACGAAAGCGUGGGGAGCAAACAGG